UAGGUAGAAGGAGAGGAGUCUCAGAUAAGAUUUUGGACUGGGACUUUAGACUUUUGAAUUCACACUGGAAUGAAUCAAGACUUUGGAUGGCCAUUGGGAAGGCACCAAGAAUACCUCACCUCCUGAGAAUGCAGCCCAGUAGGUGUCAGCACCAUUUUACCCAGACCCUAUUCAAGAUGGAGUUGCUCUAGUUUAAAUGCCUCUGACAAUGUGAGAAGGACAUGAGAUUUGGGAGGGCCAGAGUUGUGUAUCACUACUGCUUGCUAUUGGGCCAAUGAAAGAAAGCAAGAGAAGAUAGAAGAUAGAGAGGGCCCCUUCAGUGGGACUUCUACUUCAGGCCACACUGGAAUAGAUGACACCAGACAAUCUCUCAUCAUAUACAACUGGAAAAUGAAACAAUAUUUAGAAAACAUUCAUUUGCCAAAAUUAGACAAAGGACAGAACGAGAUUCUGAUCCUGGAGAGUAAGAAAACAAACAAGGUGAUCAAGUUUUUCUUGGAAGAACUCCAGUACCGUGGUGAAAGGAGAUGGAACCCAAGCAGAGAAUGGCAGCUUGUAUUCUGACAAGCCAAGGUGAUGAGAUCUUGUUGAAAAUCCAAGGCCUUGAACAGAGGCACCAGAAUGUCACACCUUCCUUGCGUGGAUAAACUAUCUCUAGAGUGAAGGCUACUCUAGACUCAUCCUGGCAAAGCUUACACCUAAGCCUCAGAUGCUCAAGUGGAUCUAAACGUAACUUAAUUGUUUGCCAAAAUAAAUGCCUUUUAAAGAAAACUAAAAUUUAGACACCAAACAAAAUGUUUAAAUUUCUAGACAUAUGAGGAAGCAGGAAACUGUGACCCUCAAUUAAAACAAAUAAACAGAAACAGGCAUGGAAAUGUCAGAUAUGAGACAUAAAUAAUGGGAUUAAGAGUUAAAAACUUUAAAACAGCUAUAAAAAUGCUAAGGACUUCAAAGAAACUUAAUGUGAGGCCAAAUUAAAGCAAUAAAAAUUACCAAAUGGGAAUUCUAUAGUUUAAAUAUACAACAUUGAGAAUUAAAAAUUCACUCAAUGGACUUAAGAGUGGAUUGACUACUACAGAAGAAAAGAACAAUGAACUUGAACACAUAUAUUAGAAACUAUCCAGUUGAAGCAGAGAAAGAGAGAAAAGGUAGGUGCAUGCACACACACACAAAAAAUGAACAGAAAUUAGUGACCUGUGAGACAAUGGUAGAUAGCCUAAUAUACAUGUUACUAUGUAACUAUCUUUAAAGAGGUGGUUAGAGACUGUAACAUAUUUGACAAAAUAAUAGCUGAAAAGUUUCCAAUUUUGAUGAAAACUAUAAAUCAACAGAUUCUGGAUACCCAGCAAAUAUGUAGCAUGACAAACAUAAAGAAAACCACCUCAAGGUAUGUCAGAAUCAAAUUGAUGUAAACCAGAGAUAUUGAGAAAAUUAUAACAAAACAGAGGGGAAAAAAGGCAACAUUACAUACAAAGCAAUGAAGAUAAGAAUGACUCCUUGAAAACAAUGCAGGCCAGAGGACAAUAGAAUGAGAAUUUUCGUGUGUAGGAAAAAGGUAAUCAUCGCCCUGAAAUUAUAUAUCCAGUAAAUGAAAAUGAAAAGUAAAAUGAAAGUAAAAUACAUAGAUUUUCACUUAAAAGAAGUUGAGAGAAUCAAUGGCCAGUAGAUCUGCACUGAGAGAAAUAGUAAAGAAAAUUCUUUAUGCUGAAGGAAGAUGAAAUCAGAUGGAAAUUUAAAUCAACAGGAAGAUAUG